rnacentral:lncRNA from 1 species
CAGGAGGUUUCAGGAAAACACAAGUUAUGCAGUGGGGCAGGUGAGGCUCAGCCUGUCCUGAGUGUCAUGGGAACAGCUCUGGAAGUGACUCCUCUGUCCUCUGGAAUCUGGACCAGAUGGGGGCUUCUCCAGACAUCUGUGCUCAGCAGAUGCGACAGACGGCCCCUCGAGUGUAGCCCCAGAUCCAGCACCGGCCCAAGCAGGUGGGAGCUAAGGGGAAACCGAGGCUCACAGCGAGGAAGUUGGUCAGCAAGCCCAGGCCCCUCCACCCUGCCCGCGUUUCCUGCACUGCACUGGAUCAAACCGGUUUGAUCCUUGAUAAUGCCUCCGACAAAUAUUUGAUGAGGGAGGAGGCUGAGAGAGGGGCUGUGGAACAAAUCACCACAAACUGGAGGGCCGAAAACACCAGCAAUGGGCUCCCUCUUGGUUCUGGAGCCGAGAAGGCAGAAAUCAAGGCGUCGUCAGGGUUGUUCCUUCUGGGGCCUCAGAGCAGGACUCUGUUCCCUGCCCGUCCCCAGCUCCGGUGGUUGGCGGCCUUCCUCGGCCUGUGGCCCUGCACUCCAAUCGCUGCCUCUGUUGUCACUUGGCCCCCCAUGUGCCUCUGUGUCUCAGAAGGACACAAGUCAUAUUGAAUUAAGGACCCUCCCUACCCCAGCAUGACCCCGUUUUAACUUAGAACUUUCACAAUGAUCUGAUUUGCAAAGAAGGCUGGAUUCUGAGGUCCUGGGAAGGACAUGAAUUUUGGGGGAUGCUGUUCACCUCAGUACACCGGUGCAGAGUUCGGUGACACCGCCAAGUUGCUUGACGGUGAGCAGCCUGGCAUUGUAGAAAGGCAGAGGUUGACUUUAGUUUGGUCCCUGGCUUUGUCCUUUAUUUGUUCUGUGACACCUUGGAUGAGUUUUGUGACCCGAGUGUCAGUUUCCUAGGAACCAGUGACAAUGAUCAGAGAUAGGGGGACUCAAGGGUAAGUAAAGUGCAGGAUGAACUGCAGCGGAGCGUGUGAGGUGCCUGGCAGGUGUCGGCCACCCAGUGGCGCUCGAAGCACCUGCUGCUCCCUCCUUCGUCGCUCCCAGCUGCCUUCUCUGCCGGGCGCUCUUUGGAGAGGAGCUGUGUGACUGGUUCAUCCUGUCCCUCGAGGAGCUACCAGUUCAGUCAAGGACAUUGAGAAGCAGCAGAUGGUGACAGUGCAGUGUGACAGUGGUGUGCUGUGGGAGCCCCAUGGAGCAGCUACCCAGGCAGGAACGUCAGGGAGGCUUCCUGGAGGAGGUGGUGCUUCAGAUGAGACUUGAAGGAGCAGAAGGUGUUUGCUAGACAAAGGGGCUUGCUUGGAUGAAUGGUCUUCAGAGCGUGGUCCCAGUAAGGAAGGAGACCACUACUACUCUUGCUGCCCUCCUCCCCCAACCUUGCCUAGUUUACAAGACAGGAGGAAAGAGAGAAAGCAAAAAGUUAGAAAAAAAAAAAACAGAAGUAAGAUAAAUAGCCAGAAGACCUUGGCACCACCACCUGGCCCUGGUAGUUAAAAAAAGUAAUAAUAAUAAUAUCGACCCCUGACUUAAACUACUUGUAUUAUCUGUAAAUUCCAGACAUUGUAGGAAAAAGCAUUGCAAAAUUUUCUGUUCUGCUAGCUGAUGCAUGUAGCCCCCGGUCACGUUCCCCAUACUUGUUGGAUUUAUCAUGACCCUUUCACGUGGGCCCCUUAGAGGUGUAAGCCCUUAAAAGGGCCAAGAAUUUCUUUUUCAGGGAGCUCGGCUCUUAAGAUGCAAGUCUGCUGAUGCUCCCGGCUGAAUAAACCUCUUCCUUCUUUAA